rnacentral:tRNA from 1 species
UAGCCUAGUGGUUAAGGCUAUGGAUCGCCAAUCCGGAGACGACGGGUUCGACUCCCGU